CAUCCCCUGCGGUGUACGAGAUCAGGCCAAGCGAUCUUGACCCUCAACACACUGCCCAGGGACCAGGCGUGAGCUCGCCGGUGAGCAGGUCCGCCACCGAGCGGAAAGCCUAAGGGGGCUCCCCUCGUCCCAACUUGAACCCCAGGGUUCAAGGGCAGGCCUGUACGACACUGCGGGGGAUGU
rnacentral:other from 1 species